AGCUUUGCGCAGUGGCAGUAUCGUAGCCUAUGAGGUUUAUCCGAGGCGCGAUUAUUGCUAGUUGAAAACUUUACCCAAUACCCCGCCCUGACGACUUGUUCGUCACGGCAAUUUUUGACAGUCUCUACGGAGA
rnacentral:snRNA from 1 species